CGCACAUUGCACCUGGUGGUAUUCCGCCAGGUAUGCCUGUUUGAGCGUCAUUUCUCUCUCACUCCGGUGGUUUUGCUGUUAUUACUCCUCUAGGGGAGUGUACGGUGAAAAGAAAUGGCAAGGCUCUAGUCUUUCAAGAAAUGUUUUAGGUUCUACCAACUACAUCUUCUAAAAGUACUAAUUAAAGUCGGCUUGAUAACUUUUUUCAAUGUUGACCUCAAAUCAGGUAAGACUACCCGCUGAACUUAA
rnacentral:misc_RNA from 1 species